rnacentral:rRNA from 1 species
AGAGCGAACGCUGGCGGCAGGCCUAACACAUGCAAGUCGAACGGAUCCUUCGGGAUUAGUGGCGGACGGGUGAGUAGCACGUGGGAACGUGCCCUUUGGCUCGGAACAACUCAGGGAAACUUGAGCUAAUACCGGAUAAGCCUUUCGAGGGAAAGAUUUAUCGCCAUUGGAGCGGCCCGCGUAGGAUUAGCUAGUUGGUGAGGUAAAAGCUCACCAAGGCGACGAUCCUUAGCUGGUCUGAGAGGAUGAUCAGCCACAUUGGGACUGAGACACGGCCCAAACUCCUACGGGAGGCAGCAGUAGGGGAAGUCUUAGCGCAAGUGGGCGAAGCCUGACGCAGCCAUGCCGCGUGAAC